UACGUAGGGUGCAAGCGUUAUCCGGAAUUAUUGGGCGUAAAGAGCUCGUAGGCGGUUUGUCACGUCUGCUGUGAAAACUGGAGGCUCAACCUCCAGCCUGCAGUGGGUACGGGCAGACUAGAGUGCGGUAGGGGAGAUUGGAAUUCCUGGUGUAGCGGUGGAAUGCGCAGAUAUCAGGAGGAACACCGAUGGCGAAGGCAGAUCUCUGGGCCAUUACUGACGCUGAGGAGCGAAAGCGUGGGGAGCGAACAGG
rnacentral:rRNA from 1 species